ACUCUGAUAGGACUGCCGGUGACAAGCCGGAGGAAGGUGGGGAUGACGUCAAGUCAUCAUGGCUCUUACGAGUUGGGCUACACACGUGCUACAAUGGCAGCUACAGAGAGGAGCGAAGCUGUGAAGCGGAGCCAAUCUUAAAAAGCUGUCUCAGUUCGGAUUGUUCUCUGCAACUCGAGAACAUGAAGUUGGAAUCGCUAGUAAUCGCGGAUCAGCAUGCCGCGGUGAAUACGUUCCCGGGUCUUGUACACACCGCCCGUCACGCCAUGGGAGUUUGUUCUGCCUGACGGCGUUGAGCUAACCUGCUUGCAGGAGGCUGGCGACCACGGUAGGGUAAGCGACUGGGGCGAAGUCGUAACAAGGUAGCCGUAGGGGAACCUGCGGCUGGAUCACCUCCUUU
rnacentral:ncRNA from 1 species